CUCUCUUUUGUUUUGAAGCACAGAUUAAAAAACCUCUUCUGUGUUUUCUCUAGGCCUUUGGACAUUUUGGAUUCACAGUGGUGGCAGGUCAUGAAGCAUCUUUUCUUAUUUAGGGAAUCAUUCUAUUUGUUAUCAUAAUGUGGCAAGAGAAGACAUCCCCAAGUGGAAAGGGUUGGCAAUCCCUGCAACUGGUAAUCCCAUUUUCUGAAACAGCCCAUAACUGUGGAAAUGAAUGAAGAAAAGUGACCCACACUGAGAAGC
rnacentral:lncRNA from 1 species